CCAUAAUCAUAUCCAGCCUGAUUAGCAUUUGAAGAUGAAGGUUCUAAGUUUCUCCACAACAAACAAUGGUUACAUUAAUAAUGUGCAAGAAGGAAAAUGGAAUACCAAUCAGAAAUUCAGGUUUUGCAGAAAAAUAUUCGUAGACUGGAAGAACAUUUAAAAAAAGUAAAUAAAGACCUUUAUGCUGCUGAAAUGGCUUAUGAUGACGCCAAAACAAAACUGGAGGAUGUGACUGAAGGCAUUGUUAAAGAAAAAUCACGUUUCAAGAAUUUGGAAGAGAAUAUUAAAAAACAAAUUAGAGAUGAAAUAAGUGCUUGGAGGCUGACUCAGAAAAGAAUUAUAGCAUUACAAGCAGAGUUAGAAAGAAAGAAAAAGGAGCAUAGCAAAUUAGAGGAAAAGAUGAAGAGUAAAUUAAAAAAAUAUGAGCUGCUUUCAGCUGAACAAAUAGAAAUACUGGAAAAAAAUAAAGAUGUGCUCAAAGAACUUCUUGAGGUGUACUUUCAUGGACCACUGAAAGGAAGAAAUGGCUCACAUGCUUUGCCCAAGAGUGUGAUAGGCAACAGGCUUUUAAGGGGCUGCCACAAAGAAGGGGGGCAAUAUAUUUUUCCAAAGAAGCAAACAAGAAGCAAUGGAUGGAAACUGAACAAAGAGAGAAGCAAUCUAAAACUAAGGAGAAACUUCCUGACAGUGAGAACAAUUAACCAGUGGACCUGCUUGUCUCCAGAAGUUCUGGUGCUCAAUCACUGGAAGUUUUUCAGAAAAGACCGGACAGCCAUUUCUCUGAAAUGGUAUAGAUCCCCCAAAGGUCCCUCUAAGUGUUAUUCUGUUAUGCUGAUACUUUCUCAGGACUUCUACUCAAAUUUAUUUCAUAAUUUCACAUAUAAAAUAGCCAUUUGUGUAAUACAACCUGCAUAUUGUUCAAAACAGUAAUUAUUAUGGCUGAUGUUUGACAGCAAGCCUAAAAGUCAAAGAUCACAAGAGUGCUUCUUUCUCUGUAUGUAUACAAAAUGUCACAUACCAGGAAUAGCAUAUUAAGCUGGACUUAUGCAACCUGAUGUACAAAAUAAAAACACGCAUAUUUAU
ensembl:lncRNA